GAGGGAAGAGGUCCUAGAGGAGUGGCUGAGUGGGAAUCAACUUCAUAAUAAUCCUAGAGAACAUAAUGCUUCCCACCGUAAUAGAUCACUGCUGGGAAAGCGUCUUCAGUACCGGGUCCAAACCCCUCUUUAGUACCGGUUGUGCAACCGAUAUUGCUAAAUCGGUACUAAAGGGGAUCCUUUAUGAACCGGUACUGAAGGACCGCCUUUAGUACCGGUUGGGGAGACCAACCAGUACUAAAUUGGCUACCACAUCGCGCAUGGCCAAGGGUAAUUUAGUACCGGUUCGUCUCCCCGAUCAGUACUAAAUUCUUUUUUCUUUUCUAUUUUGUUUCUCAUUUUCUUUUCUAUUUCUCUAUUCUAUAUUAAGAUUUUG
rnacentral:lncRNA from 1 species